UCCCUGGUGGCUGAGCGGUAAAGAGUCCUGCCAAUGCAGGAGACACAGGUUCGAUCCCUGGCCUGGGAG
rnacentral:tRNA from 1 species